GCCAGGCACAGUGGCAGGUGCCUGUAGUCCCAGCUACUUAGGUGGCUGAGGUGGGAGGACGGCUUGAGCCCAGGAGUUCUGGGCUGUAGUGCGCUAUGCCGAUCAGGAGUCUGCACUAAGUUUGGCAUCAGUAUGGUGACCUCCCGGGAGCAGGGGGACCACCAGGUUGCCUAAGGAGGGGUGAACCAGCCCAGUGGGAGGCGGAGCAGGUCAAAACUCCCAUGCUGAUCAGUAGUGGGAUUGUGCCUGUAAAUAGCCACUGCACUCCAGCCAGAGGAACAUAUUGAGAUCCCCGUCUCU
ensembl:misc_RNA Metazoa_SRP Metazoan signal recognition particle RNA